rnacentral:rRNA from 1 species
CCUACGGGGGGCAGCAGUGGGGAAUAUUGCACAAUGGGCGCAAGCCUGAUGCAGCCAUGCCGCGUGUGUGAAGAAGGCCUUCGGGUUGUAAAGCACUUUCAGCGGGGAGGAAGGCGGUGAGGUUAAUAACCUCAUCGAUUGACGUUACCCGCAGAAGAAGCACCGGCUAACUCCGUGCCAGCAGCCGCGGUAAUACGGAGGGUGCAAGCGUUAAUCAGAAUUACUGGGCGUAAAGCGCACGCAGGCGGUCUGUCAAGUCGGAUGUGAAAUCCCCGGGCUCAACCUGGGAACUGCAUUCGAAACUGGCAGGCUAGAGUCUUGUAGAGGGGGGUAGAAUUCCAGGUGUAGCGGUGAAAUGCGUAGAGAUCUGGAGGAAUACCGGUGGCGAAGGCGGCCCCCUGGACAAAGACUGACGCUCAGGUGCGAAAGCGUGGGGAGCAAACAGGAUUAGAUGCCCGUGUAGUC